AUGUCUGCUUUUGCCCUCGCCCUCGCAGGGAGAGGUUCGUUCCGGCCCAUCCAGUCUUCUCUGACCAAAGCAGCUCUGUCUCGGCCGAUCGUGCCCAAGGUCCUUCCACCCCAGGCCACGAGUCACCUGGCCAGUGCUAUCGACUUAGCAGCUACGAGUGCCGGCAUCCUCUCUGGGAACCCCCUCCCUGCCUUGGACACCGAGGGCUUGUCUGGCAUCUCUCCACUGUCUUCAGACGAGGUGACGGGUGCCAUCUCGGGGCAGGACUCCACUGGAACUCACCAGGAUGGAGACGCCCUCCCCGCUGUGGGGGGCUCCGACCCGUUCGCCAGCAUCCCUUCGAGGCCUGAGCAGGAACCAGUGGCAGACGGUUUCCAGGGCUCGCCUGUUCUGUCCUUAUCUGAGCUGCCUAAGGCCCCUCUCCAGAAUGGCCUCUCCACGCCGCUGUCCUCGUCAGAGAGCUCCAGCACCCGGCUGUCUCCACCAGAUGUCUCUGCUCUGCUCGACAUCUCCCUGCCCGGCCCGCCUGAGGAUGCGCUGUCACAGGGCGAGCCUGCCACACACAUUAGCGACUCCAUCAUUGAGAUCGCCAUCAGCUCCGGUCAGUACGGUGAAGGGGUCCCCCUUUCUCCAGCGAAACUGAACGGCAGUGACAGUUCCAAGAGCCUUCCCUCCCCGUCCAGCAGCCCCCAACCACACUGGAUCGCCUCUCCCACCCACGACCCCCAGUGGUACCCCAGUGAUUCCACCGACUCCUCGCUCAGCAGCCUGUUUGCAAGCUUCAUCUCCCCAGAAAAGAGCCGCAAGAUGUUGCCAACUCCCAUUGGGACCAACAGUGGCACCUCCUUGCUUGGCCCCAGCUUGUUGGACGGAAACUCGCGGGACUCAUUUGUGUCCAGGUCCCUGGCUGAUGUCGCAGAGGUGAGUGCAUUGACCUCACAGCUGCACCUGACCACCACCCCUCGUGCCAGGGGUUGCCAGCACUCUUCCUGCACACCUGUGGGUUAGUAAGAGCUGUUUGCCAAGAGUGGAAGAUCAGGAAACAGCACGUACACACUCGGGUCCCUGACUACUGAGAAUGGAGAGAUCUGGGGAUGCUAGGCUGGCUCUCGUCCCCACAUGCAGAAUGACAGACUUAGUCACAGCUGAGCUCUGCAGGUCUCUGAACUGGGAGCCCUGGUCUGGCGUGUAGAGCAGGGUCUCUGAAGGCAGCCAGAGCCAAGUGGGGAUGUCACCUGUCCUUCACCGGCUGUGAGGUGCUGAGGUGCGGGUACCAUUGUGGAGGAGUAAGGGGUGGUUGCAGCAGUUGUGUUGUCGGUCCUCCCAUCCUAACAGCAGGACCUUUGAGCAGUGUCUCCCUGUCACAUUGAGCUGCGGUGCAGGGGAGCUGAGACGGGCUUUGCUGUCCUCAUGCUUCUCCCACGCCCAGGGUAGUGAUAGGAGUCACUGGGGCAGGUUAUUGAUGCAAAGGCGAAACGUGGUUUGUGACUCUCCUCUUUUGGCCAGGUGCAGCGUCCCUCUUGCUGUUGGCCAGGCCAUCUGGUUGUAGCCCCCAAGACCUCCACCACAUGGUUUGCGUGGCAUUCGUGGGCAGGUCAGGCUUGCAGGGUGAAGACAGGCCCGUUUCACUGUGUUGUAGGGUGCAGAGUGGCAGGUGUGUGAGCAACUGUGUGAGGGCUCUAUGGACAGAGAGGGAACUCCAGGUCCAGGAGGUCACCUACAUGAGCUUAGCCCAUGUGAAAGUCCUGGAGCAGCAUUCCCCAAAUGUAGUCCCCACAAUGUUGGGACAUUGGUAGGUGUUCCUUGAGGAUUUUGUAGGCAGAUAUUUGAGGGAAACCCUGGAUCCAAAAAAGCUCAAAACACCUGUUUCUCACGGACACCUCCGCUACCCAGUAUCCAAAUGAGAAUUGUGACUCUUGAGAUGAUUAACUCAUGGGCAGGCUUUGGAGAAUUCCAAGCCAAGCCGUGAUACGAUAUGACUGAAAAUUUUAACCAAAUAAUACACAUUGACACAAUUAAUAGAGUAGAUCUCCAUCUCACAGUGUGUGGCAUUUCUCAAACCUGUUUGGCCCCAGAAUCAUGAUUCAGAGCACGCCUUGGAGUCUGAUGUUUCCCGAGAAGCCGGUCUCUGUCUCUUCCUGUGUUUGUGCGCAUGUUCCUAAGUGCUGGGCUCUGUGGAGAUGGGCCUUGUGUACGAGCCCUGAGGCAGCAUGCCAGGACCUUGCUGGUGAAAGGACGGGCCACAGCCCAGUGACAGGAGCCCCUUGGAGUCAGAAAUGUAGAGUGUUAGCCUCAGCCCAGUCAGAAUUUGCACCUUUAAUGAAAUCCUGGGCAACAGAUGGCACGUGGGAGUGAGUAGCAGAGAAAGGGUGCAGUUGGUGUUUGUGAAGCGCUGCCCGUUGCGAGUAAUGCAAACACGUAUUCACCUGCAGAAAGAGCAAGUCAGCGUUUAGCAUGGAAUUUUCCCUAGAGCCCUCCGCUCAGAACGUGAGUGUGUUUGUCAGCAGAUCGUCGUCCUCUGGAAGGAUUGUCCGAGGCAUUUGUGGAUGAAAGGGCUAGUGUGAAGGGGAGGGGUGGGGGUAGAGCUGGGAGUC
rnacentral:lncRNA from 1 species